rnacentral:lncRNA from 1 species
UUUUUUUUUUUUUUUUUUGCUUUCUUGAUUUUAUUUCAAAAGUACACAAGGUCACAAAACUAGAGCAAGUUGUUUUUCUUAACAAAUUUUGUUCUUACAAAUUUCAAAAUCUGCACCAUUGGAUAUAUAAGCCAAAAAUCAUAUAUACAAAAUCUGAAACUGACACUGUCAAUUCUAUACUUUGCACACGUGAAGUGUCAAAAUAUUUUUCUCAGUAGUACAAGUGUAUUUAUCACUAAAAUUCACAAUUAGGGAAAAGAAUAAGUGAAUCAAUGAACUGUGGUUCUCUUAAAACUUGUAUAAAUGAUCAGCCUUCCCUAAAGAUAAACUGAACCACAAUUCACAAAUUUGUUUAUUAUUCUUCCCUGCUUCUAUAACAUUUACAAAAAUAAUUUGUCCUCAGUUAUGGCCUAUUUUAGUGUUAAAAUAGGUAAAUGAGUAAGAAAUCCUAUUGCAGAACAUAAUGCCUUUAUUGCUGGAAUAUCCAAAGGCAUUCAAAAUAUUAAAACUUGCCCAGAACAUUUACACUACUAAACACAGGAAUGUUAUAAAGAUAUAUGUACAUAUAUAUAUAAUAUAUAAUGUCACAAGCCACUAAGAAGUUAAAAUUCUGCCAACAUUUUAUACAAACUACUCUUUAUGUGACACAUCAAAGCAUUAACCAUGUAAAAUAUGAACUUUUUCUGUUCCCACUUGAAUAAGGCAUCUGAAAGCCCUAAACACUGCUGAAGUGAAAAUUAGAAGAAAAAACACUUAACAUUCACAUAACACCAAAUGUACAUGCUGCACGCACACAAAAGACACUUAGAAUAUUUUUAAGAU